rnacentral:rRNA from 1 species
UGGGGAAUAUUGGGCAAUGGGCGAAAGCCUGACCCAGCGACGCCGCGUGGGUGAUGAAGGCCUUCGGGUUGUAAAGCCCUUUCGUGCGGAAAGAACAGUCCCGUGGUUAAUACCCGCGGGAUUUGACGGUACCGCAGGAAGAAGCACCGGCUAACUCCGUGCCAGCAGCCGCGGUAAUACGGAGGGUGCAAGCGUUGUUCGGAAUUACUGGGCGUAAAGGGCGCGUAGGCGGUAAUGUAAGUCAGAUGUGAAAUCCUUCGGCUUAACCGGAGAACUGCAUCUGAAACUGCAUAACUAGAAUACAGAAGAGGGAAACGGAAUUCCCGGUGUAGAGGUGAAAUUCGUAGAUAUCGGGAGGAACACCAGUGGCGAAGGCGGUUUCCUGGUCUGAUACUGACGCUGAGGCGCGAAAGCGUGGGGAGCAAACAG